rnacentral:rRNA from 1 species
GAUGAACGCUGGCGGCGUGCCUAAUACAUGCAAGUCGAGCGAACGGACGAGAAGCUUGCUUUUCUGAUGUUAGCGGCGGACGGGUGAGUAACACGUGGAUAACCUACCUAUAAGACCGGGAUAACUUCGGGAAACCGGAGCUAAUACCGGAUAAUAUUUUGAACCGCAUGGUUCAAAAGUGAAAGACGGUCUUGCUGUCACUUAUAGAUGGAUCCGCGCUGCAUUAGCUAGUUGGUAAGGUAACGGCUUACCAAGGCAACGAUGCAUAGCCGACCUGAGAGGGUGAUCGGCCACACUGGAACUGAGACACGGUCCAGACUCCUACGGGAGGCAGCAGUAGGGAAUCUUCCGCAAAGGGCGAAAGCCUGACGGAGCAACGCCGCGUGAGUGAUGAAGGUCUUCGGAUCGUAAAACUCUGUUAUUAGGGAAGAACAUAUGUGUAAGUAACUGUGCACAUCUUGACGGUACCUAAUCAGAAAGCCACGGCUAACUACGUG